rnacentral:rRNA from 1 species
UAGGGAAUCUUCGGCAAUGGACGAAAGUCUGACCGAGCAACGCCGCGUGAGUGAAGAAGGUUUUCGGAUCGUAAAACUCUGUUGUUAGAGAAGAACAAGGACGUUAGUAACUGAACGUCCCCUGACGGUAUCUAACCAGAAAGCCACGGCUAACUACGUGCCAGCAGCCGCGGUAAUACGUAGGUGGCAAGCGUUGUCCGGAUUUAUUGGGCGUAAAGCGAGCGCAGGCGGUUUCUUAAGUCUGAUGUGAAAGCCCCGGCUCAACCGGGGAGGGUCAUUGGAAACUGGGAGACGUGAGUGCAGAAGAGGAGAGUGGAAUUCCAUGUGUAGCGGUGAAAUGCGUAGAUAUAUGGAGGAACACCAGUGGCGAAGGCGGCUCUCUGGUCUGUAACUGACGCUGAGGCUCGAAAGCGUGGGGAGCAAACAGG